rnacentral:misc_RNA from 1 species
UCCAAUUUUAUGUUGGCAGUUUAUCUAGAAUAAAACAUUAUAAUGUCCUCAAACACUAGAAUAUAAGGGUUGCGCCCGUUAAGGUAGUUAAACUAACACUUUACAGCACGAGCUAACGACAGCCAUGCAACACCUGUAUAAAUCUAAAAUUAUUAAGUUACAUGUAACUUAAUAAUUUGUUAAUAAAAUUAUCAACAAAUAAAUUUAUUGAUCAAGAAUUGGUAAGGUUUUGCGCGGUAUAUCGGAUUAAGCCACAUGCUUCACCGCUUUAUUAAUCCUCCGUCAAUUCUUUUAAGUUUAAGCCUUGCGGACGUAGUUCCUAGGCGGAGUGUUUACGCGUUAGCUUAAACAUAAAAACACAUUUACAUUUAACACUCAUCGGUCACUGCAUAGACUAC